rnacentral:tRNA from 1 species
GAUUCUAUAGUUUAAUUAAAAUUUUGAAUUGCAAAUUUAAAGAUGAUAUGUUUCUAGAAUUU